GAUGAACGCUGGCGGCGUGCCUAAUACAUGCAAGUCGAGCGAACGGACGAGAAGCUUGCUUUUCUGAUGUUAGCGGCGGACGGGUGAGUAACACGUGGAUAACCUACCUAUAAGACUGGGAUAACUUCGGGAAACCGGAGCUAAUACCGGAUAAUAUUUUGAACCGCAUGGUUCAAAAGUGAAAGACGGUCUUGCUGUCACUUAUAGAUGGAUCCGCGCUGCAUUAGCUAGUUGGUAAGGUAACGGCUCACCAAGGCAACGAUGCAUAGCCGACCGGAGAGGGUGAUCGGCCACACUGGAACUGAGACACGGUCCAGACUCCUACGGGAGGCAGCAGUAGGGAAUCUGCCGCAAUGGGCGAAAGCCUGACGGAGCAACGCCGCGUGAGUGAUGAAGGUCUUCGGAUCGUAAAACUCUGUUAUUAGGGAUGAACAUAUGUGUAAGUAACUGUGCACAUCUUGACGGUACCUAAUCAGAAAGCCACGGCUAACUACGUG
rnacentral:rRNA from 1 species